CUCGGCUUACACGAGCACAGAGACUCGCGCGUUCGAGUAGAGCAAACGUCUCAACGUUCCCGAACGAAUCGAACCCGUUUUCGUGUGUUUUUUACUUCAAGAAAGUGUAGUGUUUCACAGACGUAUGGAUAAACAAGUGCUUGGUGACAAACUAACUGCGUUCCGUAUUCACGGUGUGAGUUUGAAAAGUUUUGUGAAGUUGUUCUAAACUUUAACUAACUGUGUUUGUGUCUAAGUAUCUAAGCUUAUAUUGUUUUAAUUCGGUGGUUAACUGUGCGUCUAUAUAGAGCAUACUGCACAUGGUCACAAAAAUAAAGUUGACACGAAAUGCAGCUCAGAAUGUCGUAAGGUAUUAAUUUGGAUAUGAGAGGAUGAGCCAUGGAAUCACGGAGCGCGCCGCCAAGCCCCGACGAGGCAGGGGAGGCGGUGUUCAACUCACACUGUGGACGAUACAACAACCAGCAAUCGUUACAAAGAGUAUUUGCAAGCUACAGAGAUUCAUCGAGACCUCGCCCACACCAUCGGCAUGCAAUAUCAGAGCCCGCACGACCAGAAGAAAGAGCAUUUACUACGGCAGAGGUUCACGACUAUCCUUCGUCAGAAUCAGGAAUCGCAGCGGAUUGUCCCCAUGCUCACAGCAGUAAUGCAGAUGAUAGCCCAUGCUAUGAUCGUUCGGAUUGUGAAGCGAAUUCAAGUUAUAGUCUAAGACAACACUUUAAUCAUACCAUUGAUUGUACUAAACAUCGACCAGAGUUCCACAGAAGCCAAACUCCAGAUUAUCACGAGCACGGCUCAGACAGUGACAGAGGUCAUCCUCGCAAUCAAACUAAUAGGAGACCUUACAGAAAGCACAGAAGAGAAGAACAUGAUGAUGGUGCUCACUCUUUAGAUGAGAGAUGCGCUCGGGAUCUCGAUGAAAUUUUACCAGCUAGACUUGCAAGUAUAAAUGUAUCCAGGGAUCCAGUUGCACAGUCAUGGAAUCGAAGCAAUAUUGCUGCGACAAUGGAGAGAUUUGAACCAGUCGAUUAUUCUUACGCAUAUUACGAUCAUCAUUUGUCUAUGCCAUCAUCCUCCCGAAAGGCUAAUCGCCAUCGUGGAAGGGGCGGAAUUCCAAGAGAACGAACUGAUCGGCAUAAUUUUGUAACAAGAUAUGGCACUGAGGAAAAUAUAUACGAAGAAAUUACAGAUGGCUCACGGACAUGUCCAAAACAUAGGCAUGUACCCCGACAAUCACUUAUAUCACUCGAUAGAAGUGUAGUUGAAGAAGAAGUACGUCGAGUUGAGUCUAGACAUAAAAGGAUAUUAGGUGAAUUAAACUUAAGCGUAGAAGCCAUGCUCAUGCCUGAGUGCGAAUCACCUGAUUCAGAAAGAGCUGAGGAUAGAGACAACAUAGAAGAGUUGUUAAGAGUGGGUCCAACGGAUGAGUUAUUAUCUCCCGCUAGCUGUAAUCCUCCAGAUUUAGACAGUGGUUUUAGUGGAAGUAGUAGUGGUGCAAGUUAUGUGGGAAGUUUACGUAGAAAACCAACUGGAUCUGUGCCUCACUUACCCGCAGUUGCAUAUGGAACACGUGGCGGUGGUGUGAGGAUUCUAGGAACCGAUGACUGCAACAUUCGAUUUCCUAGAGAUUCUUCAUCGCCCCGCAGUUCAAGUUGUGGUGAUGCCAAGUCGAGUGGAUUUUGGAAUAAAAAGGCAUGGAAGAAGUUAUCCGGGUUUUCAAGUUCAAAUAGUAUAAACAAAGCAGGUUUAGCUGGUCUGCUCGUUAGGUACACUUUCCGGCGUAAGUCCGGCACGCAAGGCUCGCAAAGCAAGCGGCGUCCCGAGUCUGUCAAAUGCGAUGCCUGCCUGUCCCAACGAUGUUAGAUGAUCUAUGAUGAAGCCUGUAGGCCAAGCAGAGCUAAAUCCAGAACUUCUCCCAUACAAUGCAGUUACUCAAACGGAAAACUGGUGGUGCCGAUGGAUUCCCUAGCACAAACAUAAAGGAAUCCAAUGAAAACACAGACUUAGUAUUUUUAUCAUUGAAAGGCAAAAUAUUUUUCACUACUACCAAAAUAAUACGUUCGUAUGAUGGAUUUAGAAUACGCCGUAAAUAGUGAAAUAUUUCGAUGAUGUAUGGAAGCAGAAUAAAAAAUUAUUACAUUCCAUACCUUUUAUGUAAAGUAAUAUUUACAAGUUGAAUGUUUAGUAUACAUUGUGUCUUAAAGAUACUUUGUUAAGGCUUGGCUUAAAUAAUAUUCUAUGUGAAAAUAGUUGUAAAUAGAUCACGUAAUAUUGAUAUGAAGAUGUAUACGGUGUGGUGAAAGCUUAGAUAUUUCUAUUGUUACAACGAGUUUCAUGGAAACAAAUAGAAAAUGUUGGUAAUAUAAUGACAUAUUUCAGAUGGUACUACAGAAAUCUCUUAACACUCAUAUUACAAGUUGAAAAGCGACUUUCAAUUAAUAAUUUAUUUAUUCGAAAACAAAAUUGUUAAUAUUUAAUUUUUAAAUUCGGGUCUUUUAUCACGGAGAGUGCUCAGAGAAAUGGUUCAGGAAAAUAAUUAAUACCAGCAGUUGAAUUUCAUCAUCGAAUAUUAUACCAAAAUGUGAAAUUCCGCUCUCAUGAAGUUGGCAUUCGGGAACCGUGCCCUUCACAAAAACUUCUAGCCUCGUAAUGCCACUAUGUGGAGCGAACUGCUGGCUGCAGUAUCCCCGAACCCUUAUGACUUAGGGACUUUCAACCUUAGAGCUUUCUCCUAUCAGGCUGGCAUUGCAUUUUUUGACCUCUGGAAUUACGUAUAUCCAUGUUGCCACUAUCCAUGCCUCUGAUUGUCUCCUCCAUAUAAAAAUAUGUUAAAAUUAAGGGCUUAUCAUCAAAUAAUGCGGCUGCUAAUUUAUAUAUAUUUUUGUUAUCACGUGCUAAGCCAUCAGAACCAAAUGUUGUCUUCUUGAGUUCAAAUUUCGCCAGGACUUGCCUGUAAUCAAUUCGAUACGUGUUACAUGCCAAAUGAGUCUCGUGCCAAAAUUUGGCGAGUCAACAUCUCCAGAGGAUGCCACGUUUAGAGGCGAAACAGAUGUCGCAUUGAAGACAAAUCUUAGCGGAAUUUACAAUCUCUCUCGGAAAAGGAGACUCUCAAUAUUUGGAUAGUUAUUGAUUUCCGAAAAAUAACGCCAAAUUCAAUAAAACUAUCAGAUCUUAAUUUUUUGAUAAAUUAUAUAAUUAAUAUUAUUCAAAAUAUAAUGAAACAGUUAAAAUUAAUUUUGCUCGAUCGACAAAAGAAACGUAAGCGCGACUUUUUUCAGCGUUAUGUGUUUUAUUUUACAAAAUUUUAUAAGAAUGAUUUUGACUCAAUUGAUUUACAUUAGCUAAAAAUCGAUAAAAUCUGAUUCUUUUGGAAGAUUUUGACUUACUUGGCAGUAAGGGAUAACCUUGCAAUUAAGCCGCGCCUAUGCCAACAGUAAAUUGUGAAAAAUACCUUCAAAGUAAAUUAAAGGUUUAACAGAAGAUUUUUUUUUUAUUAUUUUUUGAUUAGGACUCAGAUGCUAGCAUGUUUGGCUAACGGGCAAACUUGAAAUUUUUCUUGUCUGUAUUUUGUCAGGUAAUUGAAGGCCUUACUUAAAAUAUUAUUAAAAUUUUGUUUCAAUUGAUAUAAUACAUACUGUAUCAACAGCGUGUUUCCCAAAAAUUUUUUAGAUAAAUUCACACUUUCAUCUUUAGGCCAAACUGCCGCUGUAGUCUAGUCUAGUUAGACUUAUCUAAUCUUGGGUACCAAAAUAAACUUUCAUAAAAGAUAGUAUCGUACAUGUAAUUGUGUUGUUAAAAGUCAUAAUUAACAGGUGAUGCCUUACCAUAAAAUUACCCGAACCUUCGUUAUUUCUCCCGUCCCAUACAAAAUUACGCAAAUUCAUAUACUUAUAUAGCCUUACAAAUAAAAUUGGCAUAAAGUUAUAACUAACAUUAACCAAAAAUAGUAAAAUGUUUACAAAUAGACAUUUUGCUUACGAAUGGUUUGUUCUGACGCAUAACGUUUCCCGCGUUUAUUUGCAAGGCAGCUUGUCAUUCGGGAAACUUCAGAAUUAUCAUUGUAUUGACAGGGUUGUCAACGAUACUGUAAACAUUUUGCAUUUUCUUUGUUUAUCAUCAGUUAUAACUUUAUACCAAGUUUAUUUGUAAGGCCGUUAAUGAGUAACUGAAUCUGUGUUGUCAAUAGCAAUCUUCAAUAUGACGGUUCAUGUUUAUGUUCUGAAAUCAAUAACAACAGUUAAGUAUAUGGUGCUUAAGCAAAAUAUGGUUUUGUUUUGCCAUUCUAAGCCUCAAGGUCCAACAUGUCAUUCGUAACAUAAGUCCGUAUUAUAUUAAAUAAAUUAUUGUUCAAGAUUGUUAUAUUUGUUAGUAUAUAAUGAAAUGUAAAUAUAUGCACUCAAAUGUAAAUAGAACGCUGUAUAUGUAAAUCACAAUGUUAGGCUACGGGUCUGUGUAACUGCCAAUUUUGAAUAUUUUGUAUAAUUGUGUAACAGAAUUUAUUGUAGUAUUUGAAUGUAAAAUAAAUAUUACAGAAAUAGCAACAUACAUUGAACAACCGACCACAGUUCACACGUAUUAGCUUCAGUUUUUUAAACUCUGCUACACUAUGUUCAAAAAUACUAGAACAGUUUCAAAUAAUAAUUGUUAUAAAGCUGGGGAUUUGACACCUUACCUAACACAUUUUGUAAAUGAACUAUCCUCAAACAUCUCACUUGCGUCUUCUGUUUCAACGGUUAUCAUUUGAAAAAAGCAUUAAUCUGUCAAGAUAUACCACUUCCGUUUCAAAUUAGUGAAUUAUUUAUGCUAACAAAAUUUCUUUCUAAUUUUUGUUUCCAAUUGCGAUAAAUUUUCCAAAAUACUUGAGCCAUUAAUCUGAAAGGCUGUUCAAACUUUCAAAUAUUUUGUUAUCGAUAAUUACUUCUGAUAUUGAUGAGCCUAGUUCUAAACUUUGUUCUUUUAUUACAGAUUGGGUUUAUUAGUGUGCUGUUUGUACGUAGAUUAUGUUAGAUGUUCGUAAUGAUGUGGAUCAUUAUUUUAAUUGUACACAUUUCUAUAUGCUAGAAAACUUAAGUAAAAGUUAUUGUAAUGGAUACUAGCUGCCAACGCCGUUUAUAACUUUGACUCAUAAAUUGUGUGAGUAGUAUUGCCGAUAUCCCUCUCUCUUUCACACAUACAUCUUCAUUAUAGAUUAUUUCGUAAUCAACAACAAAGUAUGCACCAAAUGCUUUGACAGUUAGUAUCAAGUAGCAACGGCUACCAUAUUAUUAUUGUCUGUCAAACAUAAAAAAAAUAACAUAACAGCGUUACCAUUAUACUGAGUACAUGUGAUUCUGAUCAUGCUCCAUUUAAAAGAUUAUAAUCGGUGAAAGUGCCGAUCCAAUAUCAUAAGGGACAUGAAGUUUUUGUAAAUAAAUUCUAUUUGUACUUUAUCACUGCUUUUACAUAUUAUUGUAAAUAUUAAUGUUUAUUUAUGUUUUAAUCAGCGAGUUAUUAAUUUUAUACCUACAGUAAGUAAUACUCGACUGAAUGGAUAUAAAAUAAUCAAUGUUACACGAAAUUUUUGUCUGUAAUUAGUGAUCGUGUUCAAGUCAAAAGAGAUUUUAUUAAAUAAACCACAAAAAGUUA